CGCUCCCCCGUCCACCCCCCCCUCCAAAUCUCCGCCCAAAUCCCCCAUUCGCCUCUCGCCCUCGCCCUCCCGCACGCGCGAGAGCGAGCGAGAGAAGAAUCCGAGAGGGAGGAGGGAGGGAGGAGGGGGAUGGAGUCGGAUCAGGGGAAGCUGUUCAUCGGCGGCAUCUCGUGGGAGACCACGGAGGAGAAGCUACGGGACCACUUCGGCGCCUACGGGGAGGUCUCCCAGGCCGCCGUCAUGCGCGACAAGCUCACCGGCCGCCCCCGCGGCUUCGGCUUCGUCGUCUUCGCCGACCCGGCCGCCGUCGACGCCGCCCUCGUCGACCCCCACACCCUCGACGGCCGCACGGUGGACGUGAAGCGGGCGCUGUCGCGGGAGGAGCAGCAGGCGGCGAAGGCCGCCAACCCUAGCGCGGGGAGGCACGCUGCUGGUGGCAGCGGCGGCGGCGGCGGUGGGGGUGCGGGCGGUGACGCCGGCGGUGCCAGGACGAAGAAGAUCUUCGUUGGCGGCCUGCCCUCCAAUCUGACGGAGGACGAGUUCCGGCAGUACUUCCAGACCUACGGGGUUGUCACCGACGUCGUUGUGAUGUACGACCAGAACACGCAGCGGCCCCGGGGGUUCGGGUUCAUCACCUUCGACUCGGAGGACGCGGUGGACCGCGUGCUGCACAAGACCUUCCAUGACCUGAGCGGGAAGAUGGUGGAGGUGAAGCGGGCGUUGCCCAGGGAGGCGAACCCUGGUUCUGGUGGUGGGCGUUCCAUGGGAGGUGGAGGUUACCAGAGUAACAACGGGCCUAACUCUAAUGCUGGAAGCUAUGAUAGCAGAGCUGAUGCUAGCAGAUAUGGUCAGGCACAGCAGGGUAGUGGUGGUUAUCCAGGUUAUGGUGCCGGUGGAUAUGGUGCUGGUGCGGUUGGAUAUGGAUAUGGGCAUGCGAACCCUGGAACUGCUUAUGGGAAUUAUGGGACUGGAGGAUUUGGAGGUGUUCCUGCUGGGUAUGGUGGACAUUAUGGCAAUCCAAACGGACCUGGUUCAGGUUACCAGGGUGGUCCUCCGGGAGCAAACAGGGGACCAUGGGGUAGUCAAGCUCCAUCUGGUUAUGGCACUGGGAGUUAUGGAGGUAAUGCAGGGUAUGCUGCUUGGAACAACUCUUCUGCUGGAGGCAAUGCACCCUCUGGUCAGACUGCUGGUGCAGCUGCAGGCUAUGGGGGCCAGGGUUACGGCUAUGGUGGAUAUGGUGGAGAUGCAUCAUAUGGUAACCAUGGAGGAUAUGGGGGUUAUGGAGGGAGGGGAGAUGGUGCUGGCAAUCCAGCUGCUGGCGGUGCAUCUGGGUAUGGUGCAGGUUAUGGAAGUGGGAAUGGUGGUUCUGCUUAUCCAAAUGCUUGGGCUGAUCCUUCACAAGGUGGAGGAUUUGGGGCUUCAGUCAAUGGAGCUGCUGAAGGGCAAUCAAAUUAUGGCAGUGGUUAUGGUGGUGUGCAACCUAGGGUUGCUCAGUAAGCAAGACCAUUAGAGAAUCUAUGAGAAGAGCCAGCAAAUUUGGGCAGUCUAUGUAUGUUGUGUUACUCUGGCCCCUCUGGUUGCUUUUGGCUUCUUGAAGAUCACUCAUUUGCUGGUUUAAUCAGUAUUUCUUCGGGUUGGACGAGAUGCCAUUCACUCUUAGAGCAUGUCCAAGUGGGGGCUUGUGAAUCAACUGCCUGAGAAACAGCAGAGUCAUCAACUGAUUUUACUUGAUGGGCUGAUGAGUUCCAAUCUCUGAGGCAUUUGACACAGAAUGCAAGCAUCUUGCUUUUAAGCGCCUCAUUUCUGAAGGAUCUUGUGCUGUGCAACAAGAUGGUGGGUUGUGGGAGAAGUGAGGACUGAGGAACUGAGGAACAGUAUGUUCUGGAGGGAGGAGACGGUGGUUUCUCCAUGCAUAGUAUUAUUUUUAGAAGAUUUGGCGAACAAGCAGAGAAGAUAAUGAGUAGCAGAAUAUCUACACGCAUUUUUAAUCCAGCAUGAGAAUCACCAAAUAUAUCCCACCAUAUGUGUUAUCUCCUUAAGAAGAAAACAUAGACAGAGAUACACGUUUAAAAGUUGAAUAUCAGCUUUGCAUUUGACUAUUUCUAAAAGUGAAAAAUAUACAAUCUUUUUGAGAGAAAAAAUUAUGUUAGUGCAUCUCAGAUGUUUGACUUGAUUAAGAUCUGAAAUACUUUAGACUUCAUUUAGAUAAAUCUAGUUGCUCAGUCCCAUAAAAGUACAUGCAGUGUUUGGGGACGUGAUGUGGCAUAUUAUCAUAUAACCAAAUUGCUUUAUAUCUUAACCGUAGAGCUCAAUCACUGGAUUUUCUACUGUACUACCACAGAUAUUUGGAAAUGACCAAUUACAUUUCCAUUUGAUGAGAGCAUCGUUGAUCUUUAAUUUUUAAUAGUCUAUUUAUGCCAUCUCUUAGAUUUUAUUAAUAGCUUUGGGGAAGAAAUAAUAUAACUUAUUUUCAUGGAUUCUCAUCAUAUUUUUUGAUCUGUUGCUGUUAUGUUUUCCUCUGUAGUAAACCUGAUGAAAAUAAGAAAAUUGGAAACUUGACUGGAUAUACCACAUAUAGUGGAAAGUGUUAUUGAUAACUGCACUAGUAUCAAGCAAUCUUUAUGCAGCAAAUAAAGUUAGCCCAACUUUUGUGAUAUGCUUUUACUCAUGUAUUUGAAAUAACCAAUCAUUUGCAGAUCUAUUAUCAUCAUUCUAUUAACCUCUUUGAAUACCUCGUUUUCUUGAAGUCAAUGCAAUGGAAUAUGCCUCCCAGAUUGCUGAAAGGUCAUCUGCAAAUACACCAAAAGUAAGAUGAUUGUAGCGGCCAUGCAUAUAUGAUGACCACAAGACUUGUGCUUGUCCAAUGUAUUUCGUUCUUAAUGGAGAUCCUCACACCAGCGUUGUGACUUUAUAUUGAAGGACCAGUUGUUUGAAGCCAUUUGAUGCCCUACCUUACAAAUUGUUGAUGGAAUGGUUCAGGCGUUUGUCGACAUCAAUCUGGAGAUGUUUGUUGAGCUCAUUGCAUGACAAGUUAAUAAAUUAUAUUGAAUAUGAUUUCUUAGAAGUAACAUUGGGAUAUUGCCAGAAAAUGUUGGUCCUCCUACACAAUAGGAGUAACAUUGCUAUGCUAUACCAGUUGUGAAAUGAUUUAUUUGUCGUCAUAAUGAAAGCCUUGUCAUUUUCUUCCACAGAAAUGGAAAAUGCCUUUC